rnacentral:rRNA from 1 species
AAGUCGAGCGAACAGAUGAAGUGCUUGCACUUCUGACGUUAGCGGCGAACGGGUGAGUAACACGUAAGGAAUCUACCUAUAAGCGGGGGAUAACAUUCGGAAACGGGUGCUAAUACCGCAUAAUAUUUUCUUCCGCAUGGAAGAAGAUUGAAAGACGGCUCUGCUGUCACUUAUAGAUGACCUUGCGGUGCAUUAGUUAGUUGGUGGGGUAAUGGCCUACCAAGACGAUGAUGCAUAGCCGACCUGAGAGGGUGAUCGGCCACAUUGGGACUGAGACACGGCCCAAACUCCUACGGGAGGCAGCAGUAGGGAAUCCUCCGCAAUGGGCGAAAGCCUGACGGAGCAAUGCCGCGUGAGUGAAGAAGGCCUUCGGGUCGUAAAACUCUGUUAUAAGAGAAGAACAAAUUGUAGAGUAACUGCUACAGUCUUGACGGUAUCUUAUCAGAAAGCCACGGCUAACUACGUGCCAGCAGCCGCGGUAAUACGUAGGUGGCAAGCGUUGUCCGGAUUUAUUGGGCGUAAAGGGAGCGCAGGUGGUUUCUUAAGUCUGAUGUGAAAGCCCACGGCUUAACCGUGGAGGGUCAUUGGAAACUGGGAAACUUGAGUACAGAAGAGGAGUGUGGAACUCCAUGUGUAGCGGUGGAAUGCGUAGAUAUAUGGAAGAACACCAGUGGCGAAGGCGACAUUCUGGUCUGUUACUGACACUGAGGCUCAAAAGCGUGGGGAGCAAAC